rnacentral:rRNA from 1 species
ACUCCUGCGGGAGGCAGCAGUGGGGAAUAUUGCACAAUGGGCGCAAGCCUGAUGCAGCCAUGCCGCGUGUAUGAAGAAGGCCUUCGGGUUGUAAAGUACUUUCAGCGGGGAGGAAGGCGAUAAGGUUAAUAACCUUGUCGAUUGACGUUACCCGCAGAAGAAGCACCGGCUAACUCCGUGCCAGCAGCCGCGGUAAUACGGAGGGUGCAAGCGUUAAUCGGAAUUACUGGGCGUAAAGCGCACGCAGGCGGUCUGUCAAGUCGGAUGUGAAAUCCCCGGGCUCAACCUGGGAACUGCAUUCGAAACUGGCAGGCUAGAGUCUUGUAGAGGGGGGUAGAAUUCCAGGUGUAGCGGUGAAAUGCGUAGAGAUCUGGAGGAAUACCGGUGGCGAAGGCGGCCCCCUGGACAAAGACUGACGCUCAGGUGCGAAAGCGUGGGGAGCAAACAGGAUUAGAUACCCUAGUAGUCCCAUG